rnacentral:lncRNA from 1 species
GGUUCCUCGCUUUCAUUGGUGGAGGGUGUCGUAGAUAUUUCGUCCCUUCGAUCUCCAUGAGGAUCUGUGCACGAGGAGUAGAGAGAGAGAUAUAGGAAUUAUACCUGUUAUGUGUCGGCCUUGGACUCCAUCGUCGGGAUGAGGCUUGCUUGUUGGAUGGGGGCCUAUUUGUUUCGGUCGAAGUCCCAUUCUUCUUCUGUUUUUUCUUUUGACCUUUAUUUUCUGCCUGACACCGGUCAGAAGCUCCUUUGUCUGCGCGCAUG